UCCCGGGGAAGUGAAAGUGGAGGGGAAGGCGCAACCGGGAGCCAGCUAGCGGUGGCGGGCACCCCGCAUCCCACUGCCCCCGCGGGUGCCGGAGCAAGAGCACCCCGCCCUCCUGCUCGGGUCACGCGGCGGCCGGCGCUGCUGCCGUCACGUCCUCGGCCCCGGCGCGCCGGCUUUUCGGUGCCCUCCAGCUCCCUGCUCAGCCACCUCCCCCUCCGCGCGCCCUCUGCCCCAGCCCGACUUCCCGUUGCCCGGCAUGUGGGCGUUGGAGACCCGAGUGGCCCCUGUUCCCGUGGCUCCACUUAGGGAGAAAGGGUGACCCUCCGCAGGACUCCCCCGGUCGGGUCCGGGGAAUCCCUGCGCGUGCUCAGCGCUUGGGGGGGGCAUCCGCUCGCCGCUCCGACUGUCCCACCUAACUGCCUCUGCCUGUGCCUUGGGCAUGGGGCUCCCGCUCGCCUGCACUAGGUGAGGGGGGGGUGCCCCAGAGUUAAAUCUGGAGGCUGAUGCGGACUCCUGGCUUCACCUCCCAGACGUGGAGGCUAAAUUUAGCUGGAGUUGGGGCGUGUGUGUCCAGGAGCCAGCCUGGCCCCGGGAGACUCCUUUGCUCUCUCCAGUUAGUUCUCUGGGCCAAGAGUGGGAGAUAAAGUAGAACUGUUCAUCCCGGAGCCAUGGAAUCUCCUCGGCCUUGCUCAGGCCCCUUUGGUCUGAAGUUCGGACUUGGCUUGAUGCUGCGCUGGCACCUUCAGCAGAACCCCCCGCCCCACGGCGCCGCCACACACACCCAUAGGCUGACUUCUGCUGAGCUGCAGCUUCCCCUCCGCCGUUUCAGGAAGUAACCUCCCUUCCCCUCUGAAGCACUCCCCCACACCUCCCAGCCCCUGAUGCAAACCACCCACCAGGCUCUUCCCAGCGUCUGCACCCUGGGGCGUCUCAGGAACCUUGGGGCUCCUACUCCCUGGGGCGGGCCAUGGAGGCAGGUGAGGAAACAGUUACUGAAAGGCUGUUGUGGGCCUAAUUCUGUCUCGGCUCGGGCUCCGGGGCUCUGUGGCAGAGGGCGAGGGACUGCGGGAACCCGUCUCCCACAGUCACUUUAGACCUAACUGGAGACAUCUAAGGAUCCUGUGGGUGGGAGGGCACUGUGGCUGCGCCAGGCUGGUGGAGUUAAGGAAAGGCACUAAAGCUUGGGUUUUGUGAGGUUUCCCAGAAUCCUGUGGGAGUGGGCCCUUUUGGAGUGUCAACUGGGUCAGGAGGUCCUUAGGAUGUCAUAACUAGAGCAGAAAGCCAGAAACCCUUAAAAAAGACUAAGGUUGGUGUGACGUGGCCAGAAUCAAUGGUGUCAUUGCAGGUCAUUACAGGAAAUAGUGUGAUCUCUGGUGUUCUAACCAGGCAGGUAGUGGGGAGGGGUGGGGCCUUGGAAGGCAUACACGAGCAACAUGGUGUCAGAGCCCAGGCUAGCGGUCUGAGGUGGAGUUUGGUUCUUUGGGGAGAGAACUGCCAAGUGGGAGGAACCUGGUCUUUUUAAGGAGCUGUGGUGGGCUCUGAGCGCCUGGGGAUGUGAGAGGUGGGAAUGACUGACCUUAUCCCAUCUUCUUUUGGAAGGAUUAGGAACCGGAGGGGACUGAAGGGAGGGGGUAGCACUCUGUUGCCGUGGCAACACCGGUUUCCCUUGCUCCAUCUCUCCCCCACUUGCCCAUUCCAGAUGCAGUGAGUGAGGGGGGGGCCAUGGCUGAGGAGCGGCCCCCCCGGCUGGUGGAUUACUUCGUGGUUGCUGGGCUUGCGGGGAAUGGAGCACCUAUCCCUGAGGAAACAUGGGUUCCUGAGCCCAGUGGACCCCUGCGCCCUUCCCGGCCAGCUGAGCCCAUCACCGAUGUGGCAGUCAUUGCUAGGGCACUGGGCGAGGAGGUGCCCCAGGGCUAUACAUGCAUCCAGGCUUCUGCUGGGGGCCACCCCUUGGAAUUCAGUGCUGGGCUCCUGGGUGGAACUCAGCCUGUCAUCUGCUACCGCAGAGGCCGGGACAAACCCCCCCUUGUGGAGUUGGGGUAUGUGCCUCCUACGCAUGCUGGCCCCAGGGGAGCUGGGAGGGACUAUGAGUUAGAGCCAAGUCAAGGUAGGGGUGUGGGAUGAGGGGAGGGCCAGAGGCCAGGGAGGAGGGGCUGAAGUUGUCAGUGCUUGGUCUCAGGUUGUCUCAGGUUGGGUUUGCAUGCCCGUGCUGCUGCCACCUAGCCCUUUGGUCUUGGGCAGGUUAUAAAGCCCCACCAAUGAGGAUAAUAGUCCCUCGUAGGAUGCUUGAUAAGAUUGAGUGGAGUAAGACCCCUGAGGGAUUCAGCACGUCAGUGACUUCUUAGUGUCUGUUCAUGAGAGAGAGAGUCGCGGAAGGCAUGUGGGUUGUUACUGACUGACAAGUAGGGUCAAGGGCAAAGAGGGGCUAUGGGAUUCUGAGUUCAGCAAGCAGAGGUGGGCCCGGUAUUGGGUUUGACAAGGCUGAGUGUGCAGGGCAGUUUCCACUAGGUAGGCAGAUCUGACAGGAUUGGGGUCUUUCUCCUCGGUCCUGUCCUCUUGACAUUUCUCUGUUUUCUGUGCCCAGGGUGUUAUAUGAGGGCAAGGAACGUCCCAAGCCUGGCUUCCAAGUGCUUGAUACUACACCGUACAGCCACUCAGCCAACCUGGCCCCUCCAGGCCCCGGGCAUCCCCGCACCUACCUCACUUAUAGGCGGGCAGCAGAGGGGGCAGGACUGCAUGCCCUGGGCAUCACUGACCUCUGCCUGGUCCUGCCCAGCAAGGGUGAGGGCACGCCUCAUACUUACUGCCGGUUGCCCCGCAACCUCAACCCUGGCAUGGUGAGUGGGGCUGUGGAGCUGAGAGCUGAGACCUGGGCCCUUGGUGUGAGGGUGUGGAACUGGGCCCAAGGGUAUAAAGGGGCCAGGGGCAGGCCAGACGGGUGAUAGGGCUUGAGGGCUUGUGAUUAGAGGCAGCUCAGAAGAUCAUUUGGGGGUAGUAGAGAGAAAGUGGACCCCAGAAACCUUUGGUAGCUGUGUGUUUGCUUGUUUCUUGCCAUCGGGGGCAGUGGGGCCCAGCAGUGUACCUGUGCUUCAAGGUGGGCCUGGCCAAAGCCAACACACUGGUGUAUGAGGCAGGUGAGUGGCCCCUUUGUCCCUCCUAGCCUUUGACCCUUCGUGUCCCUCUGCCCUUGGUGCCUCUUGGCUGAUUCCUUCAAGUGUUCCCUAGAAUUCAUUUCCCUUUUGCUGCUUGGCCUUCUCUGGGAUCCCCUGGCUCCUCUCCCUGAAGUCUGAUGGACACCCCUCCUUUUGGGUACUCCUCACUCUGCUUGGGUGCAGAGCUGCUGGGCCGCUACCCAGAGGAGGACAAUGAGGCUUUCCCGCUGCCCGAGUCAGUGCCAGUCUUCUGCCUGCCCAUGGGGGCCACUAUCGAGUGCUGGCCCUCCCAGACCAAGUACCCCGUGCCCGUCUUCUCCACCUUUGUACUCACGGGUGCCGCUGGCGAUAAGGUAGGUGUGGGGCCUGUGGUAAGGGUCUGGGCCAUGCAGAGCCUGCCUGACCGUCCCUCUGUCCCCUGCCAGGUGUAUGGUGCCGCCCUGCAGUUCUAUGAGGCCUUUCCAAGGGCCAGGCUGUCAGAGCGGCAGGCGCGGGCACUGGGCCUGUUGAGUGCCGUGGAACGGGGCCGGGCGCUGGGCGGCCGUGCGGUGCGCAGCCGGCGGGCCAUCGCCGUGCUAUCCCACUGGCCUGCCUUUCCAGCCUUCAGAGCCUUCCUCACCUUCCUUUACCGCUACUCCGUCUCCGGCCCCCACCGCCUGCCCUUGGAAGCGUGAGCAUGGCUACCCUGCCACUGGGGAGGAGUGAGGAGGGUGCAGGGAGGCGGGAAAGAUUAGCAUGGAGAUGGGAGUGGGCUGGGCACGGGGAGGGGCCGGCCGGAGUGUGGGGUUGUACAGUGUGGCCAUUGGAAAAAACUGUCACCGGAGGAGGAGACGGACAGCCUGAAAUCCAGUCUGUCCUGCUGGUUGGGCCUGGCGAGGGCUGCGUGUGAUUUGCACAAGUCUGUUGAACAAGAGAGGCUGGGUGGCUGAUGCAGGCCUUGAAGUGGGGUUCAGGGAGGAAUAAGAUUCUUUUUUUUUUUUCCUAUGAAAUUAAAUUUUUUAAGUGAUUAUUUUUAGUUGUAUAUUUCACUUAUUCAUUUUUAGGUGGUGCUGAGGAUGGAACCCAGGGUCUCGCAUGUGGGAGGCCAGCCUCUGCCGCUGAGCCCCACCCGCCCUGUUCUUAGUUCUGGGUAGCAGUGGGGUAGGACUAGGGCUCUUAGGAGAGGAGAGGGAGAGGGACACGGGGUGGAGGAGGACGGGUGGACGGCGUGUGCCUCACCUGCUCCCUCUCUCCCCAGGCACAUCUCCCACUUCAUUCACAACGUGCCCUUCCCUUCCCCACAGAGACCCCGCAUCUUAGUGCAGGUAAGGGCCAGGGCUGGGCUGGACGGACGGAGAGGAGCAGGCCUGUCACCAACACUGACCUCUGGCUUUUCGGCCCCCUAGAUGUCUCCCUAUGACAACCUGCUCCUCUGUCAGCCUGUGUCCUCACCCUUGCCCCUCAGGUAUGUGCCCGGGUUUGGGGGAGGGGGUCUUUGAUGACUGAGGACAUGGUAGGUGCCGGGGGCAGUUGUUGAGGUCCUUGCAGGCUGGACCCCAGCGGUGUCCCUGCCUGGUUCCUGGGGAAGAGUCUCCAGGGCCUGCUGGUGACGCACCCCCACCCUCGCAUUGCCUGCAGCGGCGCCAGCUUCCUGCAGCUGCUGCAGAGCCUGGGCCCUGAGCUGGCUGUCACGCUGCUGAUGGCUGUGCUCACAGAGCACAAGUUGCUGGUCCACUCGCUGAGGCCAGACCUGCUCACGAGCGUCUGUGAGGCCCUCGUCUCAGUGAGUACCACCUGUCCGCCCACUCUUCUGGAUUUGUCCCCUUACUUUUCCUUCCUUGAGGAGGUUCUCAGUCCCUUUCCCUGGGUACAGACUUUCGGGACAAACAAGCACCAUUUCCCCAGGGCCAGUGCCCUCUCCGCUCCUGUGUCCCUCCCUGCUGCCCCGGCCCCUGUUCACUGCUCCUCUCUGGGCUUCAGAUGAUCUUCCCGCUGCACUGGCAGUGCCCCUACAUUCCGCUGUGCCCCCUGGUGCUGGCAGACGUGCUGAGCGCCCCCGUGCCCUUCAUCGUGGGCAUCCACUCCAGCUACUUUGAUCUGCAUGACCCUCCUGCCGACGUCAUCUGUGUCGAUCUCGAUACUAACACGCUCUUCCAGUAAGAGGCUGGGUCUCACGGGGACGGGAGGCUAGCUCGCAGGAGCCCACGUGUGAGCUGCUAUGGCUCCAGGCCUGAGGCGAAGGGGGGAGGAGCAUGUGAGGAGCCCUGUCGUUCUUUUUCUCCUGUUUAUCUCCUAGGACAGAGGAAAAGAAGCUCCUCUCCCCUCGGACCCUGCCCCGCAGACCCUACAAAGUUCUGCUGGCCACACUAACAACCCUGUACCAGCAACUGGACCAGAGUGAGAAGACUGGGUGGGGGUGGGAGGCUGGGACUGUCAUUGGGCUCCCGCCUCUAGUGUGGGGAAGGCUGGGGGGGCUAGACAUUCCUUGAGGAGGUUAGAGGAGUCAGGAUCUGGUGGUAGUCAGGGGGUUCUGCUUCCAACAGAAGCCAGAGGGAAGGAAGCUGGGUGCCACGGGGCAUGCCUGUAAUCCCAGUGAGUUGGGAGGCUGAGGCUCACAAGUUUAAGGCCAGCCUCAGCAAGUUAGUAAGAGAGACCCUCAGCACCUUAGUAGACCCUGUCUCUAAAUCAAAAAUAAAAUAGGACUGAGCUGCACCCUUAAGCUCAAUCUCCAGUACAGCAUUCCCGAACACAUCCCAGGGGGCUGGGGAUGGAACAGGUGUCAGUGUGAAGGAUGGGGUGGGCAAGCACUGUGGGUGCUGACUCCGACUCUGGGCAUCGCUUCCCAGCGUACACUGGACCUGAGGAGGAGGCAUCCCUGGAAUUCCUGUUGACGGACUAUGAGGCUGUCUGCGGCCGCCGCGCCCGCUUGGAGCGGGAAGUCCAGGGAGCCUUCCUGCGCUUCAUGACCUGCCUGCUCAAGGGCUACCGGGACUUCCUGCGCCCCCUCACCCAGGCCCCUUCUGAGGGGGCUCGUGACGUUGACAACCUUUUCUACCUUCAGGGUAACGUGAGCCUGUCUCUGCUUAGAAAGGGUAUCAUGGGAGGGGUGGCCUGGGGACUGCCAGGUUUCUCAUUCCCUCACUCAGUGUUUUGGUGGCACCUGCUUGAGCCAUCCACUCUUAAGGUCUUGGAGGAAGUAAGGGUACAAAGAUGAGGCAGAUGGGGCCCCGCUCUCUGGGAGCCCUGGGCAUAGAGUGGACACAAUGACCUUUGUGAGCAGCCCCCAUGGGCAAAGCUCUGUUGAGGGACCUGUCCUUGGAGAGCCCUCAGCGUAUGACGGUGGGUGCAGGUAAACAAAAGGAAGGACUCUGGGGGCCCUGGUGCUAGAGGGAGCUGAGCUGGUCCCUCUGUGUGUCAGGGGUAUGUGUCAGUGGGCCGAGAGUUGACGACCUCCGUGAGCAUGGCUCCUGAGAAAGCAGAGGGCCAAGAAUAGGGCAGGGCAGGAUGGCUGCAGGAGAGAGCCCUGGUCAUCUCCCUUCCCUGCCUCACUCUUGUCCCCAUCAGGUUUCCUCAAGUCCCGAGAACGCUCCAGCCACAAGCUGUACUCUCAGCUGCUGCACACGCAGAUGUUCUCACAGUUCAUCGAAGAAUGUUCUUUUGGCUCUGCUCGGCAUGCUGCCCUUGAAUUCUUUGACUCUUGUGUUGAUAAGGUAUCAAGUAUGUCCCUUCUCUAUGUGCCCAGUGGUCUCUGCUCUCCUUCUGCUUCUCUCUUGCCCACAGGCUACUGUAAACCCAAAUAUGUCUCAGCUGUGACAGGGAGGGCACCCCUGGAGUCACGAGCACACAGCGUGUGCCACUGGCUUCCUCUGCGAAGUAUCGUCCCAUUCUCAACUCUGUCCCCCAGCCGGGUCUUCAGGACUCCUUCCCUGCGGACGUGCUUUCCUGGAAGAUGCCAUAUUCCGGACGUCUGGCAUGCUCCAUGCCCACUGUCUUUUUAUUUUAUUUUUUGCGGUACUGAGGAUCGCACCUACGAGUGCUCUGCCACGGAGCUGCCUCCCCGAUUCUUUUUAUUUUUCAUUUUGAGGCA
rnacentral:lncRNA from 1 species